CGAACGCUGGCGGCAGGCUUAACACAUGCAAGUCGAACGGGUGCAGCAAUGCAUCAGUGGCAGACGGGUGAGUAACACGUGGGAACCUUCCUAGGGGUACGGAACAACUCAGGGAAACUUGAGCUAAUACCGUAUACGUCCGUGAGGAGAAAGAUUUAUCGCCCUUAGACGGGCCCGCGUCGGAUUAGCUAGUUGGUGCGGUAACGGCCUACCAAGGCGACGAUCCGUAGCUGAUCUUAGAGGAUGAUCAGCCACACUGGGACUGAGACACGGCCCAGACUCCUACGGGAGGCAGCAGUGGGGAAUCUUGGACAAUGGGGGAAACCCUGAUCUAGCCAUGCCGCGUGAGCGAUGAAGGCCUUAGGGUUGUAAAGCUCUUUCGUGGG
rnacentral:rRNA from 1 species